GAUGAACGCUGGCGGCGUGCCUAAUACAUGCAAGUCGAGCGAACAGAUGAGGAGCUUGCUCCUCUGACGUUAGCGGCGGACGGGUGAGUAACACGUGGAUAACCUACCUAUAAGACUGGGAUAACUUCGGGAAACCGGAGCUAAUACCGGAUAAUAUAUUGAACCGCAUGGUUCAAUAGUGAAAGACGGUUUUGCUGUCACUUAUAGAUGGAUCCGCGCCGCAUUAGCUAGUUGGUAAGGUAACGGCUUACCAAGGCAACGAUGCGUAGCCGACCUGAGAGGGUGAUCGGCCACACUGGAACUGAGACACGGUCCAGACUCCUACGGGAGGCAGCAGUAGGGAAUCUUCCGCAGUGGGCGAAAGCCUGACGGAGCAACGCCGCGUGAGUGAUGAAGGUCUUCGGAUCGUAAAACUCUGCUAUUAGGGAAGAACAAAUGUGUAAGUAACUAUGCACGUCUUGACGGUACCUAAUCAGAAAGCCACGGCUAACUACGU
rnacentral:rRNA from 1 species